GAUGAACGCUGACAGAAUGCUUAACACAUGCAAGUCUACUUGAACUUCGGUUUGGGUGGCGGACGGGUGAGUAACGCGUACAGAACUUGCCUCACAGAUAGGGACAACAUUUGGAAACGAAUGCUAAUACCUGAUAUUAUGAUUUUAGGGCAUCCUAGAAUUAUGAAAGCUAUAUGCACUGUGAGAGAGCUUUGCGUCCCAUUAGCUAGUUGGAGAGGUAACGGCUCACCAAGGCGAUGAUGGGUAGCCGGCCUGAGAGGGUGAUCGGCCACAAGGGGACUGAGACACGGCCCUUACUCCUACGGGAGGCAACAGUGGGGAAUAUUGGACAAUGGACCAAGAGUCUGAUCCAGCAAUUCUGUGUGCACGAUGAAGUUUUUCGGAAUGUAAAGUGCUUUCAGUUGGGAAGAAAAAAAUGACGGUACCAACAGAAGAAGUGACGGCUAAAUACGUG
rnacentral:rRNA from 1 species